GACGAACGCUGGCGGCGUGCUUAACACAUGCAAGUCGAACGGAAAGGCCCUGCUUUUGUGGGGUGCUCGAGUGGCGAACGGGUGAGUAACACGUGAGUAACCUGCCCUUGACUUUGGGAUAACUUCAGGAAACUGGGGCUAAUACCGGAUAGGAGCUCCUGCUGCAUGGUGGGGGGUGGAAAGUUUCGGCGGUUGGGGAUGGACUCGCGGCUUAUCAGCUUGUUGGUGGGGUAGUGGCUUACCAAGGCUUUGACGGGUAGCCGGCCUGAGAGGGUGACCGGCCACAUUGGGACUGAGAUACGGCCCAGACUCCUACGGGAGGCAGCAGUGGGGAAUAUUGCACAAUGGGCGGAAGCCUGAUGCAGCAACGCCGCGUGCGGGAUGACGGCCUUCGGGUUGUAAACCGCUUUCGCCUGUGACGAAGCGUGAGUGACGGUAAUGGGUAAAGAAGCACAGGCUAACUACGUG
rnacentral:rRNA from 1 species